GGCUCAGGACGAACGCUGGCGGCGUGCUUAACACAUGCAAGUCGAACGGGAGUAUUGAAGAAGCUUGCUUUAGAGAUACUUAGUGGCGGACGGGUGAGUAACGCGUGAGGAGCUGUCCUAUGCAGGGGGACAACAGCUGGAAACGGCUGCUAAUACCCCAUAAGCCGAGAGGUAAAAGGAUCAAUCCGGCAGAGGAGGUACUCGCGUCCUAUCAGCUAGUAGGUGAGGUAACGGCUCACCUAGGCGAAGACGGGUAGCCGGCCUGAGAGGGCGAACGGCCACACUGGAACUGAGAUACGGUCCAGACUCCUACGGGAGGCAGCAGUGGGGAAUAUUGGGCAAUGGGGGAAACCCUGAACCCCAGCGACGCCGCGUGGGUGAAGAAAUCCUUCGGGAUGUAAAGCCCUGUUGUAUGGGAAGAGCGGAAGACGGUACCAUACGAGGAAGCCCCGGCAAACUACGUGCCAGCAGCAGC
rnacentral:rRNA from 1 species